GUGUCAGCAGCCGCGGUAAUACGGAGGGUGCAAGCGUUAUCCGGAUUCACUGGGUUUAAAGGGUGCGUAGGUGGGUUGGUAAGUCAGUGGUGAAAUCCCCGAGCUUAACUUGGGAACUGCCAUUGAUACUAUCAGUCUUGAAUACCGUGGAGGUUAGCGGAAUAUGUCAUGUAGCGGUGAAAUGCUUAGAUAUGACAUAGAACACCAAUUGCGAAGGCAGCUGGCUACACGAAUAUUGACACUGAGGCACGAAAGCGUGGGGAUCAAACAGGAUUAGAUACCCUGGUAGUCCACGCCCUAAACUAUGGAUACUCGACAUCAGCGAUACACUGUUGGUGUCUGAGCGAAAGCAUUAAGUAUCCCACCUGGGAAGUACGAUCGCAAGAUUGAA
rnacentral:rRNA from 1 species